AAUAAAAGCAGUGCUAGUACGACUACAAAUUCCUUGCAGGGUUAUUUUGAGGAUUAUAUAAGUAAGGCAUGAGAAAGCACCACUGCUCAGUUUAAAAUACCUAGAGAGUGCUUGCUAAUGUAGCCUAACAUGACUAACCCUGAUUGGCAAGCUUAUUACAAGGUUAAAAAAAAAAUGAAGGCAACAAAAACUGAGUCGUAUGGUACAUACAUAAUAUCUCAAUAGAUUGUUAGAAACAAUUGUGGCAGCUUAUUUUUACCAUGGAGUGGCCUUUCCAUUACUGACAUGAGGAUAAUGGAUCUUAUAUAAAGUGAGAGGUCAGAUUAUGCCUAUUUGACGCUCCCCACAGACCAGUCUGACAUCAGGGAGACUUUGGAUACCCCAUGUAUAUUGGCUUUGGCUCCUUGGGAAUGGAGUACAGCCUUGUAAGGGGCUUGGGCAAAAAGCCCAGCACCACAUGUGUCUAGUGGACACUGCCAUGGAAAGUAUUUUUCUUGCAGUUAUUUAUACCAUCAAGACUAAUUUAGUUUUCCUUUUGUAAAGGGGAUAGAAUCACCUACCCACAACAUGUUUACCUUAGAGUUGUACAGCACCCUAAGGACAGAAGAAAUACAGCUUAUUUCACAUUCUUUUUUUUUUUUUAACCCUUAAACAUCAUACACACAAAAGUGAUGCAGAAUUUGGAGGUCAUGGGGGACAAAAAGCACUUUAGUGUGUUAAUUUAAGAUAUGUGCAUAAACUUCAUGCAGAUUUAAAUUUCCCAACAGCUUGCAAAUGGCUUACUCAAGUAAUCAAAACAGGAGUUUCUGGAGCUAACAUUAGUCAUAAAGACCACAGAAUGUAGCUUUUUAUGUUUAUUGUUUACUUUUACAUUCUGUCCUACCCUGAGUCAUGUAGUCUGACGGAAUCGUGCAGGUGUGCUUGAUGGCAUCCACGAAUAUCUGUGGAAGCGGAGACCCUCCACAGUGGAAUACGAAUAAGGCUUUGAAGUAAAAAAUAGCAUGAUCUCAAACACCAGGCUCACCUCUUCUCAGCUGGGGUGGCCCACUGAUUUGGGGCCAUUUAUUUCAAUUUUCUGAGUCUGUUUCUUCAUUUAUAAACUUAGGUACUACAAUACCCUCACCGUGCAGUGGUAAAGAUAACAUGUGAAAUGUAUGUAAAGAGCUUAGGUCCAGUGUGGAGAAUUUUAUUGAGUGUAUUAGUAAAUUACACUUGUUAUUAUUAGUCUUCUCCAUAGAGUGAGGGGGUAGUGAACAGGGUCCAGGUUCAAAAAGGUAUUUGACCUGCUGAGUCAGUCUCCCCCCACCCCCAGAGGGAGGAGGGAUUCCAAAACCAAGCAAGCAAACACUGUAGCCAGGGUGUCUUAUUCUCUGGGAAAUCAUUUGAAUCCUUUGGCUUCUAGCUUCUGAAGAAUAUUUCAAUCUCUGGGGAAAAAUUCUGUGUAAUUUUCACUAACAGUAUAGGCAUGACUUCUGUCCAAAUUAUUGUUGUACAACUUAUGCUUUGUUAUUUCAAAACCUUUCUUAUAGAUAAUAUUAAAGGAGUUUAAAAUAAACAUAACCAAAAUCUUGCCCCUUGGAAAAGUUUGCUGUAACUGGUAUAUUUUCCACAUGGCAACAUGUUACUUUUCCUUAGAUCUUGACAGCCUCGCUAAUGGCAGUUUCUCAAACAGAACCUGGUGUUUCAGUAAUCCCUGUCCUUUCAUAUUCUUUUCCUUCUGUCCAUUGAUCCUUCCCCUUCCUCACCUUGCUAGCCAACCAUCUCCUGUCCUUCAAAGUUCGUCUCAAGCACACCUUCCCAGUAAAGUGUGUCCUAGAUAUCCCCAUCUGCCACAUCUAGCUAAUCCCUGGCUCUUCCUCUGUUUAGUUAAAGCAUUUCCUGCAGACCAGUACCAUGAAACUUAUCCUGUGUUAGAUCUGCCUGUUUGCUUGUCUCCCCAGGUCAUUCACUCAUGCCAGAAGAACCAGUGUCUGUCUUUAUCUCCCCACAGGGCCAUGAAUGCAGUACGACUCAGUAAUUAUCUCUAUUUGACCCUGUGGUUUGUGUCCAACAUGUAGGCAACAUUAAUGCUAAGAAAUGCCAGAGUAACUGAAUAAAUGCAUACAGCAUAUUAUAGCCACAGCAGAAGAGGUUAUUUUAAGAACUACUGCUUGCUUCAUGUCUGAGUAAAGAUGGAAUAUCAAACAUAAUUUCUUUAUAAUCAAAGGAAGCUUACUUCCAAGAUAGGAGAGCCUCCCCUUCCUUUUUUUUUUUUAAAUUAGAAGAAGCAUUUGCAUUUUCACAUUAGUCUUUGAAUAUGCAUGGCUGGUUGAAUCCUGUCUGACACCUUCACAGAACUUGCUUGAGGAAGCUUUCCAGUACUAAAUAAAUUGCAUCCAUUCUAAUUAAAGGUAUGCAGAGAAUACUACCCAGACAGGAGAAAUAAGGUGGAACGAGGAGCUAGAACUUCCAUGGUAACCCUGCCAGGGACAAUGUAACUGAUUCAUAUGAUCCCUUUUGCCACGUAUUGAUUCCAUGCCAACAAACCUCUAAAACUGUCCAUCAUUUCACAGAGCUAUUUAUAGUCUAAGUCUAGCUGUGACAAAUGAAAGGUGAUGGGCAUACAGAGACAUUUACUAACAUGAAUAAUAAAAUACUCCUGCUUUCCAGCUCAAAUGGCCAUUGAUUAUCAACAAAGUUUAACUAGAUAGUAUAUGUAAAUAUAAGGGUAGUUUACUGAAACACAAUGAAAUAUUUGCAUCAGAUCUUUUCGUACAGAGGAUCUGCUAAAGGAUAAAAAACUAAAAACUCAAGCCUGAUGUUACAGGUACCACAUCACUGCACAGUAUUGGUACCUCAUUCUGCCUUAGGCUGGUUAUUAGCAUUUGAGUUUAUCGAGCAAUUUGUCAGAAUAUUAAGCACACAUAAAAGGAAGUGAUAAAUUAAUGCCACAUGGACAUAAAGAUUCCAAAACUGAGACAAAGCUUCAGUAGCACAAUUGCUUGUUAUGCCCUUUAAAGCAUGUCAUAGCUCUUCUGGUUGGGAUACUGAUAGAAAAAUAAGUUGUGCGCUGUCCAUUAAUUUCUGUAAACCAGACUUCUAAAUUAUAAUACUUUACAUUCCUAACAUUCAGUUUGACUUCUGAGCUUGCCUGCAAUACUCAAGGCUGAGCAAUUGGUGUUUCAUCGGGAGAUAAGUGCUUGCAAUGGUAGGGAUGCAGGUGGUGGUGGUUGCUAUUUGGAUAGGCAACCACUUGCAUCAACAUCCUGGAUGAACCAGCUUGUUCAGACAUUGACUUUGCAUGCUUUAAACUUGAUCCUGAAUUGUCACAUGGGUUACACUUAAUAGCCUGAAUAUUUAGAAGUCAAUUUCUUAGCUGAUUGCCAAAUUAUCAUCAUUUUUUUUUAAUUUAAACCUACUGGGACACUCAGAUUGAGCUCUUUCAGCUCAAGUUUUGUUUUUUGAAAAACCUUAAGAUUUCAAACUUUCAUAAAUCAUAUUCCUUGAUUGGCAAAAAGUCAGUGCUGUUAAUGUCUUUUUUCCAGUAUAUCUUAUUAUCUUCAGCCAUAAUUAAUUUCUUUAAUAACUGCUUCAAUGGAUGCAUUUUUAAAAUAUUUGCUGCACAAUAUUAUCUCACAGUGGCAGUGAUGGAAAUCUGCUCUUUUUUCAGGGGGUUGGAUGUGGAUAGGGAGGGCUCAUAUUGGGUCCAAAUACUAUAAAAUGAAAGUCAAGACUCUUUGCCAAAGUUGGCUUGUGGUUUCCUGUCUUUCCUCUUGUUUUCGUUCUGGCUGGAUUACUCUGAUGUUUUUACCUGUUGAAAUAUUACCAAAUACUUAUGAACACCUGAAACCUGCCCUUUUCCCUCCCAAUCACAUUUGAUCAGGUCACAUUUCCAACUCUCAUAGCAUUUAAAAAAUAGUUUCCAGAGAUCCCUUAAGACCAACUACCUUGUGUUUAUAGAUCCCUAAGUGAUUAUUGGGAUUUAGCCUUAUUGCUGUAUUUUUUUAAUUUUAAGAAAUUAAGUGGAAAAAUGUGGCGAGUUAUUUAUAUACACUACAUAGCUGUACCCGUAAACAUUUAAUAUUUAUGAAGUUUAACUUUUUCAAUUUUUUCAAGACAUGAAACAUAACAUAUAAUUGAGAUCACUUUUCUUCAGUCUAAUUUCUUCCCCCUUUCUAUUCUGUCCAUAGAUAAGAUCACUCAGUGAAUUUAUUGUGUAUCCUUUUAAUCCAUUUUUUAAACUGUAUAGAAAAACAAGUAACUUCACACACAUAGUACUGUGAGUUCUUUUUUAUGCAUAUAAAUUAUAUCAUAGAAUAGUAUAUAUUGUAUAUAUUAUUUUUGGUGUUCAAUAUUUUGGGAUUUCUGGAAUUUUUAGAUUACUAACUUAUUUCACUCUUUUAAGCUGCUGAAUAGUGUCUCGCUGUAUAUAUUUUCCACAACUUGAAUAUCAUUGACUCUAUCUUCAAAAUAUAUCCAGAAUCCAUCUACUUCUCCCUAUCUCUACUGCCCCUUCCUUGGACCAAAAUACUAUGUGUCUCACCUAGAUUAUUAAACAGUCUUCCAACUUCUGACCUCCUUGGAGACCCCUAAAACCUACUCUCAAUACAGCAGUCAGAGGGAUCCUUUUAAAAAUGUAAGUCAUACUGAGGAGUCACUAACCUAUUUAAAACCCUCAAGUGACUUUGGCUCUCACUACUUCAAAGGAUGCUGCUUUGGAUCACCUCUUACUUCUGCACAGGAGAGUUUCUCUAUGGUAAAUUCCUACAGAGGAAAUACUGUUUUUUGACACUGAAUCACACAUUUUUCAAUAUUACUACUUUCUUCUAUACUACUUUCUCAAGUGGUUAUGCCAAUUUUUGAUCAUAUCAGCAUUGCAGAAACCAUUUUUAUGCUUCUGUAACAUAUUGGUAAACAGUUAUACAGAUGGUAGAUGGUGAAUAAUUAUUUAGCCCCUUUGUCUGUCAAGGGAGAGUUCAACACCCACUCACCUUAACUCUUAAGUAUCCCCUUCAGAAAGAUUUAUGCUUUGCCUUUCUCUGUAGAAAUUCUGUAAAUCUUUUUACUGUUGCAUCUAUCUGCAUUUCAUGUUGUAAUGUGUAUUUUUGCCUCCCCUCUCCUACUUAUAGACCUACUUGACCUCAGGGUUAGGAUCUUCAUUGUAUCCUAUUAUCUAAGAAGAGAAAAAUGAAAAUUUUCUAAUUGUGGAUCAUCUAUGGUCAAGCACAGAGCAAUGUCCUUACACAUGUAACUUUUUCACAUUUACAGUUGUUAUUGGAGAUAGAUACUAUUAUUAUUCCCACCUUACAGAUAAUAAAAUGGAGGGCCAUCAUUUUCUCACGGUUACAGAACCAGGAAAAGGCAAAGCCUGUGUUGUAAAACCGCCAGACUCUAAAACCUAACUCAUCCUACUGUACCAUGUUCUUCUUAUGUGUCCUUAUCUCCUAUAAAGGAAAGUCUUCAUAUAUAGUUGCUGAAUAACUUCUUAGAUGAUCCUAUGUAAAUAUUGCUGGAUUCUAUGCUGUUUAGUCAAUAUCAAAUUUUGUUAAUAUUUUCUUUACUUUGAUCAGAUUCUUUAGUAGAGAUGCCUCAAUGACUGAAAUUCAUCCUUAGGUUGUAUGUGUUUGUGUCCGUGUGUGUGUGAGAGAGAGUGAGAUUAAGUCUAUACAUUGCUUCUUUUUCCGAGGUAAAGUGUAGAUCACUUUUAAUUUGAGGAAUUUUUUUGAUGAUUAUUGAUGGAUAGGUUUCCAGGAAUGACUCAUUAAAAUGCUAAGACAGAUGAAGCAUUUUAAAACUUACUCCAACCAAGUUGUUGUGAGUGAAGAAAGCCAGACAUUUUCAAUUUGGAUCAACAAUCAGAUUUUUAGGUGUAGAGUAACUACAUGCUGUUUAUCAUAUUGGACAGACCUAUUUCAUUUGUACCUAAUCUCCCAAACUCACUUUUCUCUACAGUUGUGUACCUUUCCCCACCACUGACAUAUGUACCU
rnacentral:lncRNA from 1 species